GGUUAAGCGAAUAAGCGUACACGGUGGAUGCCUAGGCAAUCAGAGGCGAUGAAGGACGUGCUAAUCUGCGAAAAGCGUCGGUAAGGUGAUAUGAACCGCUAUACCCGACGAUAUCCGAAUGGGGAAACCCAGUAUCCAAUGGAUACUAUCAUUAACUGAAUCCAUAGGUUAAUGAGGCGAACCGGGAGAACUGAAACAUCUCAGUACCCCGAGGAAAAGAAAUCAA
rnacentral:rRNA from 1 species